AUGCUAGCAUUGGCAGUACAUGUACUAAAAUUGAAAAAGUACAGAGAAGAUUAGAAUAGCUCUUGCACAAGGACGACACUCGAAUUUGUGAAGCGCUCCAUAUUUUU